GAUUUUUUCUUUUUCUAUAUUCUAAUAUAAAAGGGAUUUUAAGAUAAUAUGCGUAUAUAAUGAGUAUUGAUAUUUUAAAGUAUAGAACUGAACGAUUAAUGUUGAUACCAAAUGUACAUUUUCCAAUUCUCCUCAUUCUGGAUAUUUUGGAAAGCUAUGAGAUCCAUCUUAAAGCUCUGCUCAGUUUUAUUCUGGGUUCCUUCAUGGUUGGACCAUAAUUUUAUUCAUAAGGCUGAUACUCGCAGAUGGAUAGGCUGGCCAACCUCUGGUUUGUAAAAUUCAUAUCUUCCUAGUCCGAGUAGCUUUGUGGAUUAUUCCAAUUGGGCUUGACACCUUCUUGAGUUUAGAAUCUCCAUGAAAAUUGGUUUCAUGACAAAAUUCUUCAUGGUUGGUGAGAUAUGAGUUUUGACAGAACACAUAUCUAGGCUGGUACUUUGAUUUGCUGAUUGGUGCAUUUGGUUGGCCUUUGAUUCAGGUACCGUUCCUGUUCCCACAACACUCAUGGAUUCAACCACCUUCAAAUAAAAUUAUGGCGACUAGAAGAGACAUCUGAGCACUCAUAACAUACACUAACAGUCAAGGGAGGCAGUUAUCACCCUUGGUUUUCUUGAUGCGUUCACACUUGCAAGUUUAAAAGCUAAUGGAUAUAUUAUCGUAUGUUUAGAAGUAUCUUCUUCCUUUUCUGAAUAAUAGGAGAUUCAGAGCUAAAGUCUGUAAUUUUUCCAUGUCCGAAACCACAAUAUGUAAUAUUAGUUUUGUUCCAAAGGUCUUUCGAACUGGGGACUUCUAACACAAUGACCAAGAUUCCUUUCCAGCUAAGUUAGUGACCUCUGGUGUUCGAAGAUCUUCAUAAUUGUAAACUUGCCUUUUCUGGAUGCAUUCACACUUCCAAGCUUUUAAGGAUCUUUUAUUCUGAUCACAAGAUUCACAACCACUGCAUUCUUUAGACAUUCCCAAUGGACAUGAAUAAAGACCCCCAUACUUUCGCCAUAACACUCGUAAGACUAAAAAUAAUCAUCACCUUCUAUAUUUUUGGCUAAAAGAGCCAUGUAAGGCUAACUGUUCUUUUCAUUUAGUUUAUGUGAUUUAUUUUUUAUUCUUAGCUUAGUUAUCAUUGUUUAGGAGCCUAUAAAAGAUUGGAAAAAUUAAGUGUUUAC
rnacentral:lncRNA from 1 species